UUUAUACUUCUGUUUUAGACAAUGGACGUUUUCAUGAAGGAAAAAUUGCAACAGUAGAAUUUCUGCCUGUUAAUUGAAACAUUUCAAGGCCUUCGUGACAAAAUUGUCUUUAAAACUCUUCCUGCCAUCUGCACUAUACCAUACAAAUGGAAAAAUGGUGUGCGCAUCAUACACGAAAAUGAAGCGGUCCUUCAUUGAUAUUCAACCUGUUGACUAAUUAGUGCUGCACUUGAAUCAUGAGACAAGCCAGCAUCCACAUGUCCUGGUGCUUGGUGACAAGGAAAACUCCUCCCAAGUUUUUUAUUAUUUUAAACGGGGAGGCG